rnacentral:sRNA from 1 species
UGAGCCAGGACUAUUCUGGUUUGCCGGGGGAGGUCAAUUUCAUCAGGUGCAAUGGGAGGCGGUCGUUCUCCAAUACGUGUUACAAAGCUGACCGGACCACACUGGCGCUGCAUAACUAAGCAGACUAGGCGAGAAGUAUGUUUAAGUAGCUUAUGCUUAAACAACAGACUGCACCAGUGUAUAUAGUAUAACAAUUAACAUAUAUAUGGCAUGGGCGACGAGGUCCUUUGAAAUCAGAUAAAAAUAUGCGAAUAUAUAUUUGAUUGGACCGUAUUUAAACAGAGUUAAAAAUGUCAACUCGAGUCUGGUGAGACCAUGCCAAUUAGCUGUUCAUAGGAAUACAGUGAAUAAAUGAUUUUUUUUUCAUUGUAAAAAUACCCCUUAUUCUAUGAAGGUGCAUUUUUUGCUUGGUUAGGUUAAGGUAUUUUUUGGUACUUAGAGCGACGAUUGCUGGCUUAGGUGCAUGUUCAUACUGGCAUGGAUCGGAUUAUAAUCUGCACCCUCAUUUUCAAACUUACCUAACCUAUCUUAGGUUAAGUUAGCUUAGAUUCUUGCCCAAACAACCAAUUACAAUUUUAGUCCAUUGUAACACAACAGUUUUUUUAAGAGUGAACUCACAAACUCUCGAACAAAACAUCAACUCUGCUUUCAGGAUGCUGAGCUAAUUUGUGUAAAUUUGGUUUGCAGAAUCCAUGGAGGCGUGGUUUACCAAUAUGAACAUCUUCAGUUGAUGCUACCAAUUCGUAAAUAACAUGGAUUCCUAGGUCCUAGAAAUUGAGAAAAAUGGCACUAAUAAGCUGUGCGGAACUUCGAUGCUCCCCUUUAUCUUCAAGUAGGCACCAUUUUUUUAUAUUGUAGAAAUUGUACUUUCAUUGGUAGCCUCACAAUUUCAGUCUCUCCCCGUUGUUUGAAUCAGCUGAUUUGUUUGUUUACAUUUACAGGUAGACAAAUAAAAGAAAUUGCAAAUUAUGUUAAAAAAUAUUUUUAAUUACAACAUGAUGCCUUCGAUUGUUGUAUAAAUAGAUACAAGUCCAUGUUAAGUUAUGAAACCUGAAAUUCACGAUAUAAUUUAUAUCUGAAUCAAAAAAAUUAUUUAACAUAAAUGCCAAAAUUACAGGUAAGAGCUAUUGGGAUAAAAAAAACUGGGCUCUAGGAGAACUGAAUAUUUUUGUCUUUGUCUCUAGCAACAUGCAAGUUAAUUAUUCAAAAUAAUAUGAAUCUCCAGUGUUAAAGUUUGCAGGUGUUAUUGACAAGCUUAUGCUAUUCGGUAUCUGAGUUGGUAGCGAGCUCAGAUUAUCAGUACGGUCGUAGUGCUAAACCCACCAAAGGCUUGGUCUGUCGCCACUGUGGUAUGCCAACCUAUAUAUGAGCGACACUGGCUUCCAGGGGAAAUGAAUUAGGAAGCCCCUUAAAGUAUGCAAAAAUAAUUAAAACUACCAAAGAGGCAAAAAAUCGUUGAAGGAAACUUUUAGCAUUUUAACAAAGGGAAUCUGAAAGCACUUACACAUUAAUCGGUCUUUGUUCUUUUCAUUUAUCUCAGAUUUCAAAUCUACCAAAUGGUAAGAUUGUUUGUUGUAAAAAAAUUCUUUAUAUUAUAAGAAAUGCGUAUGUAGGUUUAAAAAAUACUACUGUGCGGGUCAAUGGAAAAGUUCUCAAAAAACAUAAAUAAAAACCGAUACCCAUAUGGUAAUAAAAUUGUUCACUACUUUGAAUUUCUACGUUGUUUUUUUUGUUUUGAUGUUUUUAAUAUAAAA